GUACAAAGCUGAAAUGCAAACCCAAAACUGCAGAGGCAACAUUUGAAAUUAAGAUCUAAAGGUGACUCAUUCUGUCACCUUCUGCAGACUGCAGAACAGCCUUUCCUUAAGGAUAAAUAAAAUCUCUGUAUCUGUACACUCAGCUGUUAAUACUGUAAAUGAAGUACAAUGUUUUUCAGAUUAUUGAAUCAUUACUGUCAGUAGAACAAGCAGCUCAAGCAGGCUGCCAAGCAGGAAGAUGAAAGAAAUCAUUAAUUUCACGUUACUGGUUCAUGCACAGAUUCCUAAGUGGGGGUGAUUAACUACUGGAUCAAGCCACCGAGGAGAGCGGGGGCUUCUCACUUUCUUAUUGUCUCCAGAUGAAGCUUGGCUGCCUUUCUGCAAGAGCUGCUUCUGCCAGACAGAGUUGUUGGACUCAGUGUUAGUCAACUGGAUGAACCGUAGCAGGAGCCCACGACGUGCAAGAGGCCAGUGGAGACAACCUAAUCGUCUCAUCCACCCAGAAGAUUGCAUCCAGUCCAUCAGCUCAAUGCGAGAGUCUCACCACGUUCCGGGCUGUACACGCUAGAGGGAGCCACGGAAAAACCAAUGCCCGGGCUGCUGCGAGCGCUGCCCUGCUCCCCAGCCGUUCCCACGCUCUUCCCUUGGAAAAUUGGGGGUCUUUCAGCAGUUUUUCACCCCAGUGUUGCUCUUUGGGGCUGCUGCAGGAGCACUUUUGUUGGAAGCAAAGCGUGCCAUUUGACUGUGCUGAUGUUUGUCAAAGUUUUAGCUGGGAAAAAGCCUUUUGUUUCCUCAGCAUCAAAGUGUUGUAUUUUGAGCGUGCCCAAGCUCCCCGCUCCUUUUUGUGGUUAGCUGUGCUCCUGCUCCACACCAGCGUGCUGUAUGCACACGGGAAAUGCUUUGAUACACCAUACCACCCUCUGCAAGACAAUCUGAAGGCACCCGGAACCCUAUUAAAAUGUUUGAGCCUGAUGUUAAGAUGCUGGGACUGAUAGUUUCAUCCUUCCAACCACCUCCCAGGCCCUGAGUUUCCUUAGCUGGAUGGUGCUCAUAUGUAAAGGCCAUGGUAUGAUGGCAGAUAUGCAGUCUCCUUUCCCUACUCACAGGGCAAAUGCGAGGAAAUGGUGAUAAAAUCUCAAUGCGCUGAUGGAGCCUUGGGGAGGUUAAACCCUCAGUGCUCUGUGCCAUGUCAUAUGGCUGCUCCUAGGGCCCUAUUUCUGUAAUGACUGCUUUCACCAAU
rnacentral:lncRNA from 1 species